rnacentral:rRNA from 1 species
GCAGUCGACGGUAAGGCCCUUCGGGGUACACGAGUGGCGAACGGGUGAGUAACACGUGGGUGAUCUGCCCUGCACUUUGGGAUAAGCCUGGGAAACUGGGUCUAAUACCGGAUAGGACCACGGCCUUCAUGGGUUGUGGUGGAAAGCUUUUGCGGUGUGGGAUGGGCCCGCGGCCUAUCAGCUUGUUGGUGGGGUAAUGGCCUACCAAGGCGACGACGGGUAGCCGGCCUGAGAGGGUGUCCGGCCACACUGGGACUGAGAUACGGCCCAGACUCCUACGGGAGGCAGCAGUGGGGAAUAUUGCACAAUGGGCGCAAGCCUGAUGCAGCGACGCCGCGUGAGGGAUGACGGCCUUCGGGUUGUAAACCUCUUUCAGUAGGGACGAAGCGCAAGUGACGGUACCUAUAGAAGAAGCACCGGCCAACUACGUGCCAGCAGCCGCGGUAAUACGUAGGGUGCGAGCGUUGUCCGGAAUUACUGGGCGUAAAGAGCUCGUAGGUGGUUUGUCGCGUUGUUCGUGAAAACUCACAGCUUAACUGUGGGCGUGCGGGCGAUACGGGCAGACUGGAGUACUGCAGGGGAGACUGGAAUUCCUGGUGUAGCGGUGGAAUGCGCAGAUAUCAGGAGGAACACCGGUGGCGAAGGCGGGUCUCUGGGCAGUAACUGACGCUGAGGAGCGAAAGCGUGGGGAGCGAACAGGAUUAGAUACCCUGGUAGUCCACGCCGUAAACGGUGGGUACUAGGUGUGGGUUUCCUUCCUUGGGAUCCGUGCCGUAGCUAACGCAUUAAGUACCCCGCCUGGGGAGUACGGCCGCAAGGCUAAAACUCAAAGGAAUUGACGGGGGCCCGCACAAGCGGCGGAGCAUGUGGAUUAAUUCGAUGCAACGCGAAGAACCUUACCUGGGUUUGACAUGCACAGGACGCCGGCAGAGAUGUCGGUUCCCUUGUGGCCUGUGUGCAGGUGGUGCAUGGCUGUCGUCAGCUCGUGUCGUGAGAUGUUGGGUUAAGUCCCGCAACGAGCGCAACCCUUGUCUCAUGUUGCCAGCACGUUAUGGUGGGGACUCGUGAGAGACUGCCGGGGUCAACUCGGAGGAAGGUGGGGAUGACGUCAAGUCAUCAUGCCCCUUAUGUCCAGGGCUUCACACAUGCUACAAUGGCCGGUACAAAGGGCUGCGAUGCCGUGAGGUGGAGCGAAUCCUUUCAAAGCCGGUCUCAGUUCGGAUCGGGGUCUGCAACUCGACCCCGUGAAGUCGGAGUCGCUAGUAAUCGCAGAUCAGCAACGCUGCGGUGAAUACGUUCCCGGGCCUUGUACACACCGCCCGUCACGUCAUGAAAGUCGGUAACACCCGAAGCCGGUGGCCUAACCCCUUGUGGAGGAGCCGUCGAAGGUGAUAGG